GAAAUAUACUCUGGCAGGGCCAGAAUCAGGGCCCAGGCAGGCCUGGGGCCCCAGCUGAGGCUGGCGGCCCCAGAACGACAGAGGUGCAGGGGAGGGGAGACCCUUGUGCCCUUUGACCCUGGGCUAUAGAGGCAUCUAUCACUUCCCUGCACACCUGAAUGGAAGCCUCCUGAGUAAGAAGACCCCCAAGUAGAAGACCCUCUUUGGAGGCAGAAGUGACACUGCUAAGAAGCCAGAGGGAUACUGGCCUGGGGGUCUGGGGAUGAGACCCUCCACCAAAGCCGUCCCUAAAUUCACCCCAAGGUUCCUCCACCUCCCUCCAGAGAGACCGGACCUGGGCACGUCCAGCCAGCACCCUCAGCCCCGCACCCGCACCCUCGUACCUGCAGCACGUUGGGAUGCCGCAGCCGCUCCAGCAGCACCAUCUCUUUGAGCAGCUUAUGGGCCGCCAGUCGAUAG